GACGAACGCUGGCGGCGUGCUUAACACAUGCAAGUCGAACGGAAAGGCCCUGCUUUUGUGGGGUGCUCGAGUGGCGAACGGGUGAGUAACACGUGAGUAACCUGCCCUUGACUUUGGGAUAACUUCAGGAAACUGGGGCUAAUACCGGAUAGGAGCUGCUGCUGCAUGGUGGGGGUUGGAAAGUUUCGGCGGUUGGGGAUGGACUCGCGGCUUAUCAGCUUGUUGGUGGGGUAGUGGCUUACCAAGGCUUUGACGGGUAGCCGGCCUGAGAGGGUGACCGGCCACAUUGGGACUGAGAUACGGCCCAGACUCCUACGGGAGGCAGCAGCGGGGAAUAUUGCACAAUGGGCGGAAGCCUGAUGCAGCAACGCCGCGUGCGGGAUGACGGCCUUCGGGUUGUAAACCGCUUUCGCCUGUGACGAAGCGUGAGUGACGGUAAUGGGUAAAGAAGCACCGGCUAACUACGUG
rnacentral:rRNA from 1 species